rnacentral:rRNA from 1 species
AUGCUGCGCUAUGAGCUCGAGGACCAGUUAUCGGUCAUAUACACGGACGAGGAGGCAUAUUGGCGCCAAUGGGGCACCCAACGGUGUGAUGCUAACACCGCUUACUUCCAGGCAAUUUCCAACGGUAGGAGACAUUGCAACUCCAUCCACUGCCUCUGGGACGGGGACACCAUCCUCCUUCGUCCCCCGGAGAUUCGCGCUCACGUUGACAGCUUCUACAAAGCCCUAUUUUCCGCCACCCCUCGGGGUGGCGCCUCGCUGGCCUUGGACACUUGGUCGGUCUGCCAGCUGGUCUUGGCCACGGAUAAUAAUGCCCUUAUGCCCCCCUUCGGGGUGGAGGAAGUCCUCGUCGUGAUUAAGGGCAUGAACCCGUCCUCAGCUCCGGGACCGGAUGGCCUCCCAGUGAAGUUCUUCCAAACCUUCUGGCAAGUUAUCAAGCCCGAGGUUAUGGCGUUAUUUAAUGAGUUCUAUGUGGGGUCCAUGGACCUGGGCCGCCUCAACUAUGGGAUUAUUACCCUAAUCCCUAAGGUCCUGGGUGCUUCGGAUAUUCGCCAGUUCCGCCCAAUCACGGUGAUCAACGUGAUCUUUUGA